UGAGGAAUAUUGGUCAAUGGGCGCAAGCCUGACGCAGCAACGCCGCGUGGGUGAUUAAGGUCUUCGGAUCGUAACACCCUGUCGUCAGGGACGAAGGUCACGAGUUUAAGAGAUGCGUGACUUGACGGUACCUGGAGAGGAAGCCCCGGCUAACUCUGUGCCAGCAGCCGCGGUAAUACAGAGGGGGCAAGCGUUAUUCGGAAUUAUUGGGCGUAAAGGGCGCGUAGGCGGUGUCUUAAGUGAGACGUGUAAUCCCCGAGCUUAACUUGGGAACUGCAUCUCAGACUGGGGCGCUAGAGUACUGGAGAGGGUGGUAGAAUUCCACGUGUAGCGGUGAAAUGCGUAGAGAUGUGGAGGAAUACCAGUGGCGAAGGCGGCCACCUGGACAGUGACUGACGCUGAGGCGCGAAAGUGUGGGGAGCAAACA
rnacentral:rRNA from 1 species